UUUUUACAAAAAGUAUGCGGUUGAGUGACCGCGUCCAUAGUAGUGGUAAGUAAGGCUACCAAGGGACGAUCGUAGCGACUGAGAGGUAUCGCCACAUGGAAUGAGACACGUCCAACUCCUACGGGAGCAGCAGUGGGAAUAUGCGCAAUGGGGAAACCUGAUGCAGAACGCCGCGUGAUGAUGAAGCCUUAGGUUGUAAAAUCUGUCAUAAGGAAGAUAAGACGUACUGAUGAGAAGCCCGGCUAACUACGUCCAGCAGCCGCGGUAUACGUAGGGGCUAGCGUUUCCGGAUUACUGGGGUAAAGGUGCGUAGGUGGUUUUUAAGUCAGGAGUGAAAUACUACGGCUCAACUGGAGUGAGCUAUUGAAAAUGGGGAAUUUGAAUGCCAGAGAAGAAAAUCGAAUUUCUUAUGUAACCGUGAAAUUGGGUGAUAUUUGGGAGAACCACCGGUGCGAAGGGGGCUUUUUUGGACGUAAAUGACCGUGAAGCGCAGAAAAGGUGGGGGACCAACCAGGUUUGAUACCCUUGUUGUUCCACCCGUAAAAGAGAGAGUAAUUGGUGUCGGGAGUUAUCCCCCCCUUCGCCGCAGCAGACGCCUCAAUAACUCUUCCUCGGGAGGAGUCUCGUAAGAAGAAACUAAUCAGAAUAAUCGAGGAGGCCGCACAACAAGCAGAGCAUCAUGUGAUUUAUUAGCAACAAGAAGAACAUACCUUACGUUGAACAUCCAUCCCAUGAAUGCCUAGUAAGCAUUUUUACCCUUUGGGACAGAAGUGACAGGUGGUGCAUGGUUGUCGUCAGCUCGUGUCGUGAGAUGUUGGGUUAAGUCCCGCAACGAGCGCAACCCUUUCCUUUAGUUGCUACCAUUAAGUUGGGCACUCUAGAGGGACUGCCAGGGAUAACCGGGAGGAAGGUGGGGAUGACGUCAAAUCAUCAUGCCCCUUAUGUUUAGGGCUACACACGUGCUACAAUGGUUGGUACAGUGAGCUGCCAUGUCGUGAGGCGGAGCUAAUCCUAUAAAACCAAUCUCAGUUCGGAUUGUAGGCUGAAACUCGCCUACAUGAAGCAGGAGUUUGUAGUAAUCGUCAGUGC
rnacentral:rRNA from 1 species